rnacentral:rRNA from 1 species
CCCUUAGAUGUUCUGGGCCGCACGCGCGCUACACUGACGGAUUCAACGAGCUUACAACCUUGGCCGAAAGGUCUGGGUAAUCUCCAAAAUCCGUCGUGAUGGGGAUAGAUUAUUGCAAUUAUUAAUCUUCAACGAGGAAUGCCUAGUAAGCGCAAGUCAUCAGCUUGCGUUGAUUACGUCCCUGCCCUUUGUACACACCGCCCGUCGCUCCUACCGAUUGAAUGGUCCGGUGAAGCGUUUGGGCUAUGGUUUUCUGAUGGUCCGCCGUUGGAUUACCGUGGGAAGUUCGUUAAACCUUAUCAUUUAGAGGAAGGAGAAGUCGUAACA